GCUGGAUACAGUGGUUGGUGGCUACAGUCCCAGCUAUGUGGGAGGCUGGGGAAGGAUUGCUUGAGCCCAGGAGUUCUGGGCUAUAGUGUGCUAUGUCAAUCGGGUGUAAAUUUGGCAUCCGUAUGGUAACCUCCUGGGAGUGGGGGACCACCCCGUUGCCUAAGGAGGGGCGAACCCGCAGGCCAGGUUGGAAACAGAGUAGGUCAGAACUCCCAUGCUGAUCGAUAAUGGGAUCAUGCUUAUGAAUAGCUACUGCACUCAAGCCUGGACGACAUAAUGAGACCCUCU
rnacentral:SRP_RNA from 1 species